GUUGGAUGUGUACGGAUUGAUAGUUUAGCCUUAGUUGCAUGAUUUUUUUAUUAGUUGUUAGUGGCUUUGAACUAGCUGUCAGAUAACUGCGAGUACUCUCAGAUAUGUUCAUUGUGUCUUUUUUUUGUCGGAUGUAUAAGUACCGGGCCACGUCUACUUGUAUUUUUGUCCAUCUGAUGAGUUAAGCCUUUUUCAACUGAUUUUUAUAGUUCGUUCUUAUGUUGUACUUUUAUACCACUUUCCCAGGUUAGGGGGAGGGUUGGGAUCCCGCUAACAUGUUUAACCCCGCCACAUUAUUUAUGUAUGUACCUGUCCCAAGUCAGGAGCCUGUAAUUCAGUGGUUGUCGUUUGUUUAUGUGUUACAUAUUUGUUUUUCGUUCAUUUUUUUACAUAAAUAAGGCCGUUAGUUUUCUCGUUUUGAAUUGUUUUUACAUUGUCUUAUCGGGGCCUUUUAUAGCUGACUAUGCGGUAUGGGCUUUGCUCAUUGUUGAAGGCCGUAUGGUGACCUAUAGUUGUUAAUGUCUGUGUCAUUUUG
rnacentral:lncRNA from 1 species